AAAUAGCCGCAGAAUUUUAACUGUGCUAAGGUAGCAUAAUCAUUAGAUUUUUAAUUAAAAUCUAGAAUGAAAGGUUUAACUUUUAUUUACUUUAUUAAAUUCACUUAAUUUAAAUUAUAUUAAAAAUAAAAAUAUUUUUAUAUUCUAAUAGACGACAAGACCCUAUUGAACUUAACUUUAGUUAAGCUGGGGCAGCUAAUUAAAAAUAAUUUUAAUUCAAAUAAUUAUAUAAAUACCUAAUAUUAUUAAAUAAAUAAGUUACCAUAGGGAUAACAGCGUAAUUUUUUAUAAAAGUUCUUAUUAAAUAUAAAGAUUGCGACCUCGAUGUUGAAUUAUUUACCUAAUAGAAGCAAAAUUUAAAAAGGGAGUC
rnacentral:rRNA from 1 species